GGUGGGUUCAUCUAACGGUUAGGAUACAAGAUUCUCAAUCUUGGCAUAAGAGUUCGAUUCUCUUACCCACUG
rnacentral:tRNA from 1 species